rnacentral:lncRNA from 1 species
CGCCCCUCCCUUGGGGCGCACUCCGUAUAGCGUCUCUGAGUUGGACUGGACCCAUGGCUCAUCCCGUUUCGGUGCGGAUCCAGCGCAGCGCCCGCGCCCGGCGUGCCUAAAGAGCUGUCAUGCUGAGACUUUCUCCAGGAGCUGGGGCAGAGUGCUGAUAUUUUUAUAGCAGCAGAGUGUGCCAGAGGCCAGCAGCUGCUCAGGGAAGGCACUGCUACGCUG